rnacentral:rRNA from 1 species
AAUCAUUUGCCCUAUAAUUGAGGGCUAGUAUGAAUGGUUUGACAUGAGCAUAGCUGUCUCCUUAAAAUUUUAUAAAAUUUGGUUUUUAGGUGAAGAAACCUAAAUUAAAUUGAAAGACAAGAAGACCCUAUCGAGCUUUAGAAUAAUUAAUUAAAAAAUAUAAAUAAAACAAUUAAUUUUAAUUAAAAACUUUGGUUGGGGCGACUGAGGAACAUAUAAAGCUUCCUUAAUUAAACAAUGCUGAUAAGCAAUGAUCCAGGAAAUCUGAUUAAAAAAAUUAGUUACCGUAGGGAUAACAGCAUAAUCUUUUUUGAGAGCUCUUAUCGAAAAAAAGGUUUGU